rnacentral:rRNA from 1 species
GACGAACGCUGGCGGCGUGCUUAACACAUGCAAGUCGAACGGAAAGGCCCUGCUUUUGUUGGGUGCUCGAGUGGCGAACGGGUGAGUAACACGUGAGUAACCUGCCCUUGACUUUGGGAUAACUUCAGGAAACUGGGGCUAAUACCGGAUAGGAGCUCCUGCUGCAUGGUGGGGGUUGGAAAGUUUCGGCGGUUGGGGAUGGACUCGCGGCUUAUCAGCUUGUUGGUGGGGUAGUGGCUUACCAAGGCUUUGACGGGUAGCCGGCCUGAGAGGGUGACCGGCCACAUUGGGACUGAGAUACGGCCCAGACUCCUACGGGAGGCAGCAGUGGGGAAUAUUGCACAAUGGGCGGAAGCCUGAUGCAGCAACGCCGCGUGCGGGAUGACGGCCUUCGGGUUGUAAACCGAUUUCGCCUGUGACGAAGCGUGAGUGACGGUAAUGGGUAAAGAAGCACCGGCUAACUACGUG